rnacentral:rRNA from 1 species
UGGGGAAUUUUGGACAAUGGGGGCAACCCUGAUCCAGCCAUUCCGCGUGAGUGAAGAAGGCCUUCGGGUCGUAAAGCUCUUACGCAAGGGAAGAAAAGACAUGGGUUAAUAGCUUGUGUUGUUGACGGUACCUUGAUAAGAAGCACCGGCUAACUACGUG